CCUCAAAGCUAGAGAAUAUCUUGAUAAGCCUGCAAUACAUGAGACAAUGGUGAAGGUUAGCGCUUAUCUGCUUGGAGAAUACAGCCAUCUUUUGGCCAGACGACCUGGGUGUAGCCCAAAGGACAUUUUUGUCAUUAUACAUGAGAAGCUUCCUACUGUAUCCUGAGUAUUUCUAUUUCUAUACAUCUAUGUUUUCUUUUGUGAUCAUCAUCUAUUUUUUUUUUUGUUUCUACAGGACUCCAACAAUAUCCAUUCUUCUCUCAACAUACGCAAAGAUUUUGAUGCACUCUCAACCACCAGAUCCCGAAUUACAAAACCAGAUCUGGGCAAUAUUCAGCAAAUAUGAAACAUGCAUUGAUACUGAGAUACAACAAAGAGCUGU